GUUGAACGCUGGCGGCGUGCCUAAUACAUGCAAGUCGAGCGAACAGACGAGGAGCUUGCUCCUCUGACGUUAGCGGCGGACGGGUGAGUAACACGUGGAUAACCUACCUAUAAGACUGGGAUAACUUCGGGAAACCGGAGCUAAUACCGGAUAAUAUAUUGAACCGCAUGGUUCAAUAGUGAAAGACGGUUUUGCUGUCACUUAUAGAUGGAUCCGCGCCGCAUUAGCUAGUUGGUAAGGUAACGGCUUACCAAGGCGACGAUGCGUAGCCGACCUGAGAGGGUGAUCGGCCACACUGGAACUGAGACACGGUCCAGACUCCUACGGGAGGCAGCAGUAGGGAAUCUUCCGCAAAGGGCGAAAGCCUGACGGAGCAACGCCGCGUGAGUGAUGAAGGUCUUCGGAUCGUAAAACUCUGUUAUUAGGGAAGAACAAAUGUGUAAGUAACUAUGCACGUCUUGACGGUACCUAAUCAGAAAGCCACGGCUAACUACGUG
rnacentral:rRNA from 1 species